rnacentral:rRNA from 1 species
CAGUGAAUCAUCGAAUCUUUGAACGCACAUUGCGCCCUCUGGUAUUCCGGGGGGCAUGCCUGUUCGAGCGUCAUUA